AUGGAAAUGGAGCCGGGCGGUCCUAGUUCGAAGAAAGUUAAGUCAGCGGCCGUCAACAGCCGCCAAGAGGCACAGGCGCCGCCGACGCCGGCGUCGCCGGCAACUGAAGCCCCCUGUCUGGACCCUGCAGAGACGCCGCCCGCAGCUGAUGAAGAUGAUGGACGCGUCGACCGCAUCAGCAACCUCCCCGACCCCAUCCUCGGUGAGAUCGUCUCCCUCCUCCGCACCAAGGACGGCGCCCGCACCCAGAUCCUCGCGUCCCGGUGGCGCCACAUCUGGCGCACCGCGCCUCUCAACCUCGACUGCCGUCGUCUCCCCGACGAGGAGCACGGGCUCACCGGCGUGGUGUCGCGAAUCAUUUCCGCCCACCCGGGGCCCGGCCGCCGGCUCCGCAUCCCCGCGUAUUACCUCCAGGACCGGGCAGCAACCGUGGACGCCUGGCUCCGGUCCCCCGCCCUCGACCAGCUUCAGGAGCUUGAGUUCUGCCAUGUCUCGAACUGUCGGCCACGACUGCUUCGGCCGUUGGCACCGCCACCUGCCUCCACAUUCCGUUUUUCACCGACCCUCCGUGUUGUCACCAUCGGGAGAUGCCUCCUCCCGGACAGCACCGUCCAAGGGCUUCACCUCCCCCAACUUAAGCAGCUGGCGCUUGAACGGGUGAGCAUCUCUGAGGGCACGCUCUGUGGCCUGAUUGCCAGGUGCCCCGCCUUGGAGUGCUUGCUGAUAUACUACAGCUUUGGUUUCCAAUGCGCUCGGAUCAACUCCCUUAGCCUUAUAAGCAUAGGUGUGCGUCUGCGGCAUCGUUAUCUUUCUGAUCAUGAGACAGAUGAGCCGCAGUUCAGAGAACUCAUCAUCGAGAAUGCCCCUUCCCUUGAGAGGUUGCUCCGUGUCGAUAUACUUGAUGGCCUGCAUGUAUCCAUAAUCUCCGCGCCUAAGCUGGAAACCUUAGGUUCCCUUCAUGGUGAGAUGUACCUCAGUUCCUCAAUUCUUCAGUGUUGUCUUUUAUGCUUCAUAAAGCGAUUGCCCAGUGAUAGCCACACGACGGUGGUUGGCGCUGUCAAGGUCUUGUAUGUCAGAAUUACUUGUCUGGAUAUAGGCACGACACUUCAGUUGUUGAGAUGUUUUCCAUGCUUGGAGAAGUUGUACAUUCAGCAGUCGAUAUCAGGGGAUCUGAAUUUGUGGAAGCGUAAACACCGGGACCUAAUCAAGUGUCUUGACCUUCGUCUAAAGACGGUAGUUAUGCAAUUUUAUCGGGGCAUCAGGGCGCAAGUUAACUUUGCCACAUUCUUCAUACUGAACGCGAGAAUGCUGGAGUUGAUGUCAUUCAAAGUUGACACCGAAUAUUACUGCCGGGCCUUUUUAGCAGAACAGCGCAAGGAGCUUCAGUUGGAGAAACGGGCUUCAAGAGGUGCUCGGUUUCACUUUCAAACUGACAGACUUCUCCGCUGUUAUUCGAUGAUCAAUAAUGUCCGUGAUUUGGAUUUAAGUGAUCCGUUCGUAUGUAAGCGUUGA
rnacentral:rRNA from 1 species